rnacentral:rRNA from 1 species
CUGAGAGGAUGACCAGCCACACUGGAACUGAGACACGGUCCAGACUCCUACGGGAGGCAGCAGUGGGGAAUAUUGCACAAUGGGCGCAAGCCUGAUGCAGCCAUGCCGCGUGUAUGAAGAAGGCCUUCGGGUUGUAAAGUACUUUCAGCGGGGAGGAAGGGAGUAAAGUUAAUACCUUUGCUCAUUGACGUUACCCGCAGAAGAAGCACCGGCUAACUCCGUGCCAGCAGCCGCGGUAAUACGGAGGGUGCAAGCGUUAAUCGGAAUUACUGGGCGUAAAGCGCACGCAGGCGGUUUGUUAAGUCAGAUGUGAAAUCCCCGGGCUCAACCUGGGAACUGCAUCUGAUACUGGCAAGCUUGAGUCUCGUAGAGGGGGGUAGAAUUCCAGGUGUAGCGGUGAAAUGCGUAGAGAUCUGG